rnacentral:rRNA from 1 species
CACGUAGGGCGCAAGCGUUGUCCGGAAUUAUUGGGCGUAAAGAGCUCGUAGGUGGUUUGUUACGUCUGCUGUGAAAACCUAGGGCUUAACCCUGGGCUUGCAGUGGAUACGGGCAGACUAGAGGUAGGUAGGGGAGACUGGAAUUCCUGGUGUAGCGGUGAAAUGCGCAGAUAUCAGGAGGAACACCGGUGGCGAAGGCGGGUCUCUGGGCCGAUAUUGACGCUGAGGAGCGAAAGCGUGGGGAGCGAACAGG